rnacentral:misc_RNA from 1 species
GUAGGUGAACCUGCGGAAGGAUCAUUAAUGAAAUUAUAAUCCGGCGAGGGAAAGGCGGGAGAGUUGUAGCUGGCCCUAGGGCAUGUGCACGCUCUCUUCCGGACUUUCGCCGUAUGGGUGCGGGGCGACCCGCGUCUUCAUAUACCUCUUCGUGUAGAAAGUCUUUGAAUGUUAUUACCAUCAUCGAGUCGCGACUUCCAGGAGACGCGAUUCUUUGAGAUAAAAGUUAUUACAACUUUCAGCAACGGAUCUCUUGGCUCUC